UACGGGGGGGGCAAGCGUUGUUCGGAAUUACUGGGCGUAAAGGGCGCGUAGGCGGCUUGGCAAGUCAAAGGUGAAAUCCCUCGGCUCAACUGAGGAACUGCCUUUGAAACUGCCUGGCUUGAGGCCGGGAGGGGGUAGCGGAAUUCCCAGUGUAGCGGUGAAAUGCGUAGAUAUUGGGAGGAACACCAGUGGCGAAGGCGACUACCUGGCCCAUUCUUGACGCUGAGGCGCGAAAGCUAGGGGAGCGAACGGG
rnacentral:rRNA from 1 species